rnacentral:rRNA from 1 species
CCUACGGGUGGCAGCAGUGGGGAAUAUUGGGCAAUGGGCGCAAGCCUGACCCAGCAACGCCGCGUGAAGGAAGAAGGCUUUCGGGUUGUAAACUUCUUUGGAGAGGGAAGAGCAGAAGACGGUACCUCUUGAAUAAGCCGCGGCUAACUACGUGCGAGCAGCCGCGGUAAUACGUAGGUGGCAAGCGUUGUACGGAUUUACUGGGUGUAAAGGGCGUGUAGCCGGGCUGACAAGCCAGGAGUGAAAAUCCGGGGCUCAACCCCGGACCUGCAUUUGAAACUGUUGGUCUGGAGUAUCGGAGAGGCAGGCGGAAUUCCUAGUGUAGCGGUGAAAUGCGUAGAUAUUAGGAGGAACACCAGUGGCGAAGGCGGCCUGCUGGACUACGACUGACGGUGAGGCGCGAAGGCGUGGGGAGCAAACAGGAUUAGAUACCCGGGUAGUC